CUCGUACUCUGUCUUUCUCUCUCAGAAAUAAGCAUUAAAAAAAUAAAAUAAAAUAAAAAAAGAACAUAGAAUCUGGAGCCAGAGUAUUCGGAUUCAAAGCCCCAGCUCUACCACUUACUUACUAGCUGUGUGCCUUUCAACAAGUUACUUAACCUCUCUGUGCUUUGGCUCCUCAUCUGUAAAAAUGGGGGUAGUAAUGUUAUCUAACUCUUAAGAUUGUGAGGAUUAAAUGAGUUAGCAGAUGUAAGUGUUAGACAAUAAUUGCUAUAUAACCACCAGCUAUAAAAAUAAAUUUAAUUAUAAUUUAUCCAUAGCCUCAUGUCUCAAUCAUAAAUAAGUGCUAACAUUGGUAUAGUUGUCUUUGUAUUUUGUCUUCCUAUUUGAAAGUGCUUUCAUCUUCCAACAGUGAUAGUCAUGGUACUAUCAUGGUACAGUGUAAAGUACUUUUUUCUAUUAAUAUAAUGUCAUGAGAAUUUUCCACUAGAAUUUCUGAUGGGGGACCAUGGUUUCCUGAACACUGCUUGCAACUUCUGUCCACCCUCCUCAGAUCCCCAGGACUCUCUGCUCUGGCUCCUACAAUAAAUACUGUGGUUGACUUAUUGCACACAUAGCCACAAUUCUCCACCCUGUUUUUGCAAUGUGACUUUGUAGCUCCUCCCACCAAAAUAUGGGGUUUGCUUCUCCUUUCCUUCAAUCUGAGCUGCCCCGGUGAGUUUCUUUGGCCAGCUGAAUGCAGCGGAGGUAAAGGUGGGCCAGUUCUGAGGUGCUUAGGUGCUUUCACUCACAUAGGUGGAACCCUGCAGCUUCUGUGGGGAAGUUUGGGCUGGCCUGUUGGAGGAUGAGAGACCAUGUGGAAGAAGGUCCAGUUGCCUAACUGAGACCCUCCAAGACUUAUGGACCACUGGCCCCCAAACAUGUGAGAGAGCCCAGCCAAGGUCAGCAGAACGGUGUAUCCAACCCUUAGAAGAAUAAAUGAGCCUGUUCAGCUGACCUGCAGAUUCAUGGAAAAUGAGAAUACAUGUAGUUUGGGCCACUGAAGUUGGGAGUGUUUAGUUGCGCAGCUACGGCUAAUGGAUAUAACCCCCGGAGGAGAAAGGCUACAGAUAUGAGACCCUCUGAUUGGUCCACUGGAUAGCAUGGGUGGGGCACCCUCUUCACCUCUUCCCUUCCAGAGUCCAUUGUACUGGCUCUUGUGUCAACCCAGCUGUCAUGCAAAGUUGCCAAAACCCUCAAGUAAUCACUCUGGUGGUCCUCAAUGGGUAGUCUUUGUCUCUGUAGUCUGGGCCCCUUUCUGAAGACAAGGAUAACCCCAUGGUGGGGGAGGAAUCUCUCUGGGCCCCUUCUCCCCCAUCUCCCACUGUGGGUCAAGUAAUUUUGCUUGUCUUCAAAACAGGGAGGGUGGAACAGAGCUCUCAGGUCCCAGGCAGUCUGUGGGAGGGGCAGACACACUCUCAGGCUCCAGGGGUCUUCAAACAAGACCUCCCCAGUCUUGCCCAGGAGCUUCCUCACCGACAGCCUCAGGACACCUGGAAGGAGGAUGGCCUGACAGAGGUCCUAGGUGGGGUCUGUCAUUCUGCCCCCCGCCUAAGCUUGAUGCCUGUCCAGCACGAAGAGUUAACGAACUGAACACUCCACGAAAAACCAUGACACGCUGCUACACAGAUUGACACAAACUUUUCAAAUACUUUGGAGAAAGCUUUGUUUAGCAAAUCGGUAAACGUGGUAAAUUCAGCCCACUGACUUUUGGAGAUGGUUUUGUCGAACCGACCCAAGAUCCUGUGCCUGCCACGUCCUGUCAUCCCCACGGGCCUGGCACUGCACUUAUGUGUGAAUCAAGGCUCAGGAAAGACACUUUACAUUGAAGAGUCCCACGCUGGCAUGUGUAUGUCUAACUGGUAUUGUCAGCCCAGGGACAUCCUCCAGGCACCCUUGGUUAUUUUCUCUUUGGACAGGUAGGCAGACACUCUUAUACACCGGGGGGCCAGAGGACAGAGGCCACCUUCCCAGAGUUUGGCACGCUCAGCAGCUCUGUUGUUGAUGACCUGGCCCCAGGAUCAGGCCCAGAAAAUGGUGGGUGGAACCACCAAGCCCGGGCAAGAAGGCACGGGCCUUGGUUUUCAGUGUUGAAAUUUCUGGCCUCCUGCUUCAGGCGCCCUGGCAGGGCUCUGACUUCCCCAGCAGGCAUGUUUAUGGGGGUAAUGCCUGGCUAUAGUCAUGACUUCACUGUCUUCUUACCAUAGCCUGGCAAGGUAGAGUCUGGGAUCGUACCCUUUCACAGGUGAGGAGAUUGAGGCUUAGCAGAGCUGGGUGACCUGCUCAAGGGCACACAGCUAGCAGGUGGUGGAGCUGGGAUUCCAACCCAGAUGGCGCUUUGCUUGGGGGAAGUCUGAGGUCUUGGGAAUGCACGUGUCUUCACAAGCAUGCUGCGGGACCUGCUCUCUAUGGAGGAGCCAGUUUGUUGUAGUGGAAAGAGGUAGACACAUCCGGGCUCCUGGCUCUGCCUCAGAUUCUUUCUGAGCCUCGGUUUCCCAAACUGUAAAAUGGUGACAAUGCUUCCCUGAUGUGGUUCCAAAGAUUUAAAUGAGAUUGUACAAUAAGGACCCGAUAAAAAGGUUUGUUUUUCUCUUUUUGUUCUAAGUUGUUUGCAAUAUUCUGCAAUGGAAUUAAAAAUAUGUGCGUACACUGAAAGAAAUCCAGAGUCAACAUGGAAUCCGUGCACCUCGAUUAUUCUAAAGUGUUGAAGCGGAAGCUCCAUGAGGCCAAGAUCACAUCUGCUGUGGCCCCUCUGUGCCAGGCACAGCAAUGUUCACUGCAGAAAGUUCAGAAAACAAAUACUUCCUAUUAUCCUACCGGUCAGAGAUGACGACUGUUGACAUUUUGGUAUAAAUGCUUCCAGAAUAAUUUUAAUACAUCCGGUCUCCAAAACAAUACCAGCCUCCCACUUGUGUUCAAGGAUGUAUGACGCUUUUUUAACGCGGAACAAUGGUUGUCUUUUCUUGCCUCGAUUCAGG